rnacentral:rRNA from 1 species
UGUGAGCUUUUUCAAUCACACACACACACACUUUGUUAAGAUCAGAAUGUCACAGCGCGUAGAAGCGCGAAACAAUACAACUUUCAGCAACGGAUCUCUUGGCUCUCGCAUCGAUGAAGAACGCAGCGAAAUGCGAUAAGUAAUGUGAAUUGCAGAAUUCAGUGAAUCAUCGAAUCUUUGAACGCACCUUGCGCUCCUUGGUAUUCCGAGGAGCAUGCCUGCUUGAGUGUCAUGAAAUUAUCAACUGCCUUGAUGGGCUUUUGCUCCAAAAGGGUGAAGUUGGAUUUGGAGGAUGAUGUUGCUGGCGGCUCUUCAACGAGCUUUGUCGGCUCCUCUGGAAUGCAUGAGCCUUCCUGUGCACCGGCGAAGCGACUCUCCGAUGUGAUAACUAUCUACGUUGGACUUCGCGUUUGCUUGGGCAUAACGGAUUCGAAACA